ensembl:lncRNA
AGAAAGGACACAGGACUUGGAGUCAGACAGUCCUGGCACUGAGUCAUGUCUCCACUACCUACUCGCUGCUCUGUAGUUUCACUGAAACUGGGUCUCCAGUUGAAUGAUGAAAUGAUGAGAACUACUUUCAGAGUUGUAGGGGUUCAUCGUGAGGGUGGUGUGAAGGGAUGAGGCAAGCGCUCACAUGUGUUAUUUUCCUUCUCUUUCAAGUCUAGUGAGCAACUCUGUGAGCCUGGCAUUCCCCCUCAUUCCACAGCUAAGACGCCCAGAGAGGCCAAGUGAGUCUCUCAAGGACGUUAACCCGCAUAUGUUGAGGGCGGGCUUUGAACCUCUGACCCCAGAGGUCCAGCUCAACCACACUGUCCACUCCGGCACAGUGACCUUGAAGAUCAGCUGCUCGAGCUCACACAUGGGGUGUGGGCCUCCCAAAAUUGAAUGCCGAGGCUCGGCCACAGAGGGUGAGAUGGAAUCCUGGUGUUUGGGAACACAGUGGAGUCACCCGGGCUACCAGGGGUGCCUGUUCUGCAGAGGUCAGCUGUCACAAGCCCAUCUGAAAUUGGCAUCAGGCUAAAACAGGGUGUGUGUCCCCCUGGGCCAUAUCAGAGGAGAGUGCUCAGAGGAGGAGACUCAGGCGUCUUAGAAAACUCCGGGUCAAGCGACACAGGGACCUGCCUGCAAAGAGCCUUUCAGAUGGCGACUCCUAAAGACAGUUGUUUUGCCUACUGACCCAACCUGAUAUUUUGGGGUUGGGGUGUCCAAGUUUUUCCUCCCCUGGACAAAAGGAUAAAGGACUUCAUGCUGGUCUACAUUUAAUAUCCAGAAUUAGGCAAAGAAUCCAGAGUCACAGAGCCAGCUCUGCUGAGACAACCAGCCUUGCCCUCCUCCCGCGAGUGCUGUGACAUCUUGACAAGAGUGCACGUUUAGCUCACCAGCUUCCUCCUGUGGCUCCCCUUUCCCUCCCACAAGCCACUCAUUUCAGAACUACUUCUCUCCUGACCUGCCAUGGACAUGGGCCCUUCACUCUCAUCCACAUCGACAGCAGCCAGCACCUCAGGCACCCAAAGGGGCUUCCUUAGAGCAGCAGAGGGUCCACAGGCUCUGGGCUGGGCACUGGGGAAGCAAGGCCCAAAGUCAACACUUUGUCCUAAAUUGGGUUGUCUGUGACGGGGUAUGGGAGCCUGGAGAGUCUGCAUUUGAUUUUGCUGAGAGAGACACAAAGGCUUCUGUGUGUUUUUACUUGCUAAGUCAUAUCUAAUUUUUUGCGACCCCCAUAGACUGUAGACCAUCAGGCUCCUCUGUUUAUGGAAUUCUCCAGGCAAGAAUACUGGAGUAAGUUGCCAUUUCCUUCUCCAGGGGAUCUUCCCAACCCAGGAAUCAAACUGGCAUCUCCUGCAUUACCAGGCAAAUUCUUUACCGCUGGCCCACCUGGGAAAAGGCGUCUACACUCCUAAUUAAAUCCAGCAUCAACUGCAACCAGACCUGAGGCAAGGCUCAAGCGGGCAAAACAGGAUUAGGGCUUCUGUGAUGCUGGGGUUGCUUAUGAGAUGCUCAGUUCUCAAGAUUUAUCUUCCAAUUCCCCGAACAUGCAUCUAAAAGUAGCAUUUGGUUUUCUAAGCAAUGAAACACAUGUCAGUGAACACACAUGUCAUCGCCACAGCAUAGCCAGGGGAAGAGGUAGGCACUCCGCAGAGCAAAAGAGAGGGUUUUCUCAACUGCCUUCCUCCCCACCCUUGUGUCACUGCCUCUUUGAUCCCAGGCGCUCAUCUACCCUUCUCUCCAGAUGGAUCCCAUCUCUCUAUCAUCUUGAGGGCCACUGUUCUUCCCAAAAGGCCAUGAGCACCUUGUCUUGGCAGGUAUUUCUAAUAGAAAUGGGCAGGCACACACAGAGUUGAAGUGAGAAGAGUUUGAUGAAAGGACUACGCAGAGCAGAGCAGGGUUUGGGGUGUCACCAAAAGGAUGACAGAGCACCUAGAAACUAGCAAGAGUAAGAAGCCCUCACCACCUCCAGGCCUAAGAGGGCAAGAGAUGAGAGAGCUGCAGCUAUACAAGAGGGCUAUCCACCAGGGCUGGAGCCUAGGGGAGCAUGACCACCACCAUGGCCACAGCAGGAAG